UACGAUCAAAUCGCGUUGAAACAUCGGUUCCCGCACGAUUCCCGAAGUUAAGCAACGUGAGCCUGAUCAGUACCUACAUGGGUGACCGCUUGGGAAUGCCAGGUGCUAU